rnacentral:rRNA from 1 species
GUGCAGCAGGCGCGAAUUUUUCACAAUGGGGGAAACCCUGAUGGAGCGACGCCGCGUGGAGGAUGAAGGCCCUCGGGCCGUAAACUCCUGUCAUGCGGGAACAAGAAAGUGAUAGUACCGCAAGAGGAAGAGACGGCUAACUCUGUGCCAGCAGCCGCGGUAAUACAGAGGUCUCAAGCGUUAUUCGGAUUCAUUGGGCGUAAAGGGUGCGUAGGUGGCGAUGUAAGUCUGGUGUGAAAUCUCGGGGCUUAACCCCGAAACUGCAUUGGAUACUGCGUUGCUUGAGGAUUGUAGAGGAGAGUGGAAUUCACGGUGUAGCAGUGAAAUGCGUAGAUAUCGUGAGGAAGACCAGUUGCGAAGGCGACUCUCUGGGCAAUUCCUGACACUGAGGCACGAAGGCCAGGGGAGCAAACGGGAUUAGAUACCCGGGUAGU